UCUUUGUGUAAGCCAUUCGAUACCACACAUGAACUUAGCAGUGAAUGAAAAUGAAUUUAGAAAGAAAAUAAUAAUGAUGCUACCUUAUGAGUGGACAGCAUUCCACAGUUACCCAGCGCCUCCAUGUACAAAGCUUAUGCAAGCCCAGUGACAGCCUUGGAAUCAGGCAGGGCCAGUGCCAAGCAUAUGGAAGAUACGACUAAGGUCAGCAUGUGAUUUAAUUUACCCACACCCAAAUGCUUCUGCAGAAAAAGCCAGAAAUGUCCUAGCUGUGGAGACUGUGCCUG
rnacentral:sRNA from 1 species